rnacentral:rRNA from 1 species
GCCUAUGGCCAUGCCACCCUGAACGAGCCUGAUCCCGUCUGAUCUCGGAAGCUAAGCAGAGUCAGCCCUGGUCAGUACCUGGAUGGGAGACCACCUAGGAACAGCAGGUGCCGUAGGCG